AUACUCUCUUAUAAAAGCUCCUUUUGGCUAAGAUCAAAGUGUAGUAUCUGUUCUUAUCAGCUUAAUAUCUGAUACAUCCUGCAUCGCAGGACCAGAAUAUUAAACUCAUUUUUGGCUCAUGACGGAGUGCUUCAAGUUUUCUGGAACUGCUGACUUUUUACAAAGCUGGUUUGAGUCAUACUUGACAAACAAAAU